rnacentral:rRNA from 1 species
CGAGCGAACAGACGAGGAGCUUGCUCCUCUGACGUUAGCGGCGGACGGGUGAGUAACACGUGGAUAACCUACCUAUAAGACUGGGAUAACUUCGGGAAACCGGAGCUAAUACCGGAUAAUAUAUUGAACCGCAUGGUUCAAUAGUGAAAGACGGUUUUGCUGUCACUUAUAGAUGGAUCCGCGCCGCAUUAGCUAGUUGGUAAGGUAACGGCUUACCAAGGCAACGAUGCGUAGCCGACCUGAGAGGGUGAUCGGCCACACUGGAACUGAGACACGGUCCAGACUCCUACGGGAGGCAGCAGUAGGGAAUCUUCCGCAAUGGGCGAAAGCCUGACGGAGCAACGCCGCGUGAGUGAUGAAGGUCUUCGGAUCGUAAAACUCUGUUAUUAGGGAAGAACAAAUGUGUAAGUAACUAUGCACGUCUUGACGGUACCUAAUCAGAAAGCCACGGCUAACUACGUGCCAGCAGCCGCGGUAAUACGUAGGUGGCAAGCGUUAUCCGGAAUUAUUGGGCGUAAAGCGCGCGUAGGCGGUUUUUUAAGUCUGAUGUGAAAGCCCACGGCUCAACCGUGGAGGGUCAUUGGAAACUGGAAAACUUGAGUGCAGAAGAGGAAAGUGGAAUUCCAUGUGUAGCGGUGAAAUGCGCAGAGAUAUGGAGGAACACCAGUGGCGAAGGCGACUUUCUGGUCUGUAACUGACGCUGAUGUGCGAAAGCGUGGGGAUCAAACAGGAUUAG